rnacentral:lncRNA from 1 species
AUGUGGGGGCUGGGCAGUGCACUGUGGGAGAGGUGGGGCACGGGGACCUGGGGAGCCUCCUGGCCCAAGGGGACCAGGCACAGGGCAGCAGUUCUGUUCUCAUCCUUCACCACUUCCCCUGUACCCCAAAAAGUGCCCUUUAGGGCAAAGGCUGCAUUUUUCUCCACGGGUCCCCACCUUGGGUCCCCAGCUGUGCCCCGGGCCACGUCCCGCCAUCCCAGGAGCCCGACCCCCCCACGCGGCGGCGUCUGUUACCUGACAACUGACACUGGCAUCCAAAGGGAACCUCCGUCUGACCCUCACCCUGAGUCCCGUCGCCCGACACCGGGCGCGCGCUGCAGCAGGGCAGCGGGAAGCAGGGCGGGAGUGCGCCUAGGGCACGCAGAGCCUUCUCCUAGAAAGAGCAACAAUGAGGCCAGGCUGCGUCUGUGAAGGCAAGACCCACACCACACAAGACCGCUGAGCAGCGAGGUGGAAGCAGAAGGACAAAGACAUCCUCCCUGCUGAGAGUGAAACCCCGGCUGUCUUGAUUUCCUACCGCGGAAGUUCAUUCAUUAGGGAGAAAGAAAUAAACAGCCGACAUCUGUACAUCUCCUGUAAACCCCGCGCCUUCCCGAGUGGUGGGCAUAACGAUCCCGUCCCAGUUGGGGAAACUGAGGCUCAGAAAGGCUGGA